rnacentral:rRNA from 1 species
AGAGUUUGAUCCUGGCUCAGGAUGAACGCUGGCGGCGUGCUUAACACAUGCAAGUCGAACGAACCUUCGGGUUAGUGGCGGACGGGUGAGUAACGCGUGAGAAUCUGCCCUCAGGAGGGGGAUAACGGUUGGAAACGACCGCUAAUACCCCAUAUGCCUACUGGUGAAAUGAAUUUCGCCUGAGGAUGAGCUCGCGUCUGAUUAGCUAGUUGGUGAGGUAAUGGCUCACCAAGGCUUCGAUCAGUAGCUGGUCUGAGAGGAUGAUCAGCCACACUGGGACUGAGACACGGCCCAGACUCCUACGGGAGGCAGCAGUGGGGAAUUUUCCGCAAUGGGCGAAAGCCUGACGGAGCAACGCCGCGUGAGGGACGAAGGCCUCUGGGCUGUAAACCUCUUUUCUCAAGGAAGAAGAUAUGACGGUACUUGAGGAAUAAGCCACGGCUAAUUCCGUGCCAGCAGCCGCGGUAAUACGGGAGUGGCAAGCGUUAUCCGGAAUUAUUGGGCGUAAAGCGUCCGCAGGCGGCUUUUCAAGUCUGCUGUUAAAACGUGGAGCUUAACUCCAUCAUGGCAGUGGAAACUGAAAGGCUUGAGUAUGGUAGGGGCAGAGGGAAUUCCCGGUGUAGCGGUGAAAUGCGUAGAUAUCGGGAAGAACACCAGUGGCGAAGGCGCUCUGCUGGGCCAUUACUGACGCUCAUGGACGAAAGCCAGGGGAGCGAAAGGGAUUAGAUACCCCUGUAGUCCAUGCCGUAAACGAUGUGUGUUAGACGUUGGAAAUUUAUUUUCAGUGUCGCAGCGAAAGCGAUAAACACACCGCCUGGGGAGUACGACCGCAAGGUUAAAACUCAAAUGAAUUGACGGGGACCCGCACAAGUAGUGGAGCAUGUGGUUUAAUUCGAAGAUACGCGCAGAACCUUACCAACACUUGACAUGUUCGUCGCGACUUUAAGAGAUUAAAGUUUUCGGUUCGGCCGGACGAAACACAGGUGCUGCAUGGCUGUCGUCAGCUCGUGUCGUGAGAUGUUGGGUUAAGUCCCGCAACGAGCGCAACCCUCACUUUUAGUUGCCAUCAUUAAGUUGGGCACUCUGAAAGAACUGCCAGUGAUAAGCUGGAGGAAGGUGGGGAUGACGUCAAGUCCUCAUGGCCCUUACGUGUUGGGCUACACACGUGCUACAAUGGUAUCUACAACAGGAAGCAAAACAGCGAUGUUAAGCAAAUCCUUAAAAGAUACCUCAGUUCGGAUUGCACUCUGCAACUCGAGUGCAUGAAGCUGGAAUUACUAGUAAUCGUGGAUCAGCGUGCCACGGUGAAUGCGUUCCCGGGUCUUGUACACACCGCCCGUCACACCAUGGGAGUUGGUUCUACCUUAAGGCAAGGCAUAAAACCCUUGACCACGGUAUAGUCAGCGACUGGGGUGAAGUCGUAACAAGGUAGCCGUA